CUCGGGUUCGAUCCCCGGCAACGGCGCCAAAUUUGAUAUAGCUCAAAUCGCCUUAAGCUUACUCCCUCAAAUAAGA
rnacentral:sRNA from 1 species